AAGACUAUAGACCUGCGGAGUACCUGCGGAGGGAUCAUUAAAAAAAAUGAAGCCGGCCAAAUUGGUCGGCAUCAUAAAUCCUUAUCAUCCUAUGUGCACUUAUUGAACCUUUUUUGCUUUGGCAGGAGAAAUCCUGCCAGAGGUAUCCCAUCAAAACCUGAAUGUUUUGACUGACCUUUUUUUACAAAAUAAAAAAAUUGAAUACAACUUUCAACAACGGAUCUCUAGAUCGGAAGAGCA
rnacentral:misc_RNA from 1 species